UACGGGGGGUGCGAACGUUGUUCGGAAUCACUGGGCGUAAAGGGCUCGUAGGCGGCCAACUAAGUCAGACGUGAAAUCCCUCGGCUUAACCGGGGAACUGCAUCUGAUACUGGAUGGCUUGAGUUCGGGAGAGGGAUGUGGAAUUCCAGGUGUAGCGGUGAAAUGCGUAGAUAUCUGGAGGAACACCGGUGGCGAAGGCGGCAUCCUGGACCGGUAUUGACGCUGAGGCGCGAAAGCUAGGGGAGCAAACGGG
rnacentral:rRNA from 1 species